rfam:Triticum aestivum genome assembly, contig: Triticum_aestivum_CS42_TGACv1_scaffold_249436_3DL
AUACCUUUCUCCGCCUUUUGGCUAAGAUCAAGUGUAGUAUCUGUUCUUAUCAGUUUAAUAUCUGAUAUGUGGACCAUGUGUCCACAACGAUAUUAAAUUUAUGUUUUAUGGGGGAGGGUCCACCACAGUGGCUUGCCAAGCCACUGGGGCCCUCACGUGUCGCCCAGGCGUUGCACUAGUGCCUGGGCCCGGCGCACCCCGA